GCUUAAGUAGGCCUUCUUAUUAGACAAUCUGCACGCUUUGGUCUUCAGUCCCAGACAGGACACAGGCCAGUCAUGAUGGCUCCAGUUCAGCUCUUAGGGCUGCUGCUGCUCUGGCUCCCAGCCAUGAGAUGUGACAUCCAGAUGACCCAGUCUCCUUCAUUCCUGUCUGCAUCUGUGGGAGACAGAGUCACUCUCAGCUGCAAAGCAAGUCAGAAUAUUAACAAGUACUUAGCCUGGUAUCAGCAAAAGCUUGGAGAAGCUCCCAAACUCCUGAUUUAUAAUGCAAACAGUUUGCAAACGGGCAUCCCAUCAAGGUUCAGUGGCAGUGGAUCUGGUACUGAUUUCACACUCACCAUCAGCAGCCUGCAGCCUGAAGAUGUUGCCACAUAUUUCUGCUUGCAGCAUAAUAGUUGGCCCCACAGUGAUACAAACCAUAACAUAAACCACCCAGAGAUGCAGAUGUUCCCAGACAGGACACAGGCCAGUCAUGAUGGCUGCACUUCAGCUCUUAGGGCUGCUGCUGCUUUGGCUCCCAGUAUGUGUUUGAUGUGUAUUUCCAAUAUCAGCCAUGAGAUGGGACAUCCAGAUGAUUCAGUUUCCUUCAUCCCUGUCUGCAUCUGUGAGAGACAGAGUCACUCUCAGCUGCAAAGCAAGUCAGAGUAUUGGAAAUGUCUUAUGCUGAUCAGCACAAGAUUGAAGAAGCUUCCGAACUCCUGA